rnacentral:rRNA from 1 species
UACAGAGGGGGGCAAGCGUUUGUUCGGAAUUACUGGGCGUAAAAGGGCGCGUAGGCGGCCGCCUAAGUCAGACGUGAAAUCCCUCGGCUCAACCGGGGGAACUGCGUCUGAUACUGGGUGGCUUGAAUUCGGGAGAGGGAUGCGGAAUUCCAGGUGUAGCGGUGAAAUGCGUAGAUAUCUGGAGGAACACCGGUGGCGAAGGCGGCAUCCUGGACCGAGAUUGGCGCUGAGGCGCG